CUACGGGGCGCUGCAGUGAGGAAUAUUGCACAAUGGGGGGAACCCUGAUGCAGCAACGCCGCGUGGAGGAUGACGCAUUUCGGUGUGUAAACUCCUUUUAUAUGUCAAGAAAAUGACGGUAGCAUAUGAAUAAGCGCCGGCUAGACUCCGUGCCAGCAGCCGCGGUAAUACGGAGGGCGCAAGCGUUACUCGGAAUCACUGGGCGGAAGGGACGCGUAGGCGGGUUGAAAAGUCAGGUGUGAAAGCCUACAGCUUAACUGUAGAACUGCACUUGAAACUCUCAAUCUAGAGUAUGGGAGGGGCAGAUGGAAUUAGUGGUGUAGGGGUAAAAUCCGUAGAUAUCACUAGGAAUACCUAAAGCGAAGGCGAUCUGCUGGAACAUUACUGACGCUAAGGCGUGAAAGCGUGGGGAGCAAACAGGAUUAGAUACCCCUGUAGUC
rnacentral:rRNA from 1 species